UACGUAGGGGGCGAGCGUUGUCCGGAUUCAUUGGGCGUAAAGAGCUCGUAGGCGGUUCAGUAAGUCGGGUGUGAAAUCUCCGUGCUCAACACGGAGCGGCCACCUGAUACUGCUGUGACUCGAGUCCGGUAGGGGAGUGUGGAAUUCCCGGUGUAGCGGUGAAAUGCGUAGAUAUUGGAAGGAACACCAGUGGCGAAGGCGGCCACCUGGACAAACACUGACACUGGAGGCACGAAAGCGUGGGUAGCGAACAGG
rnacentral:rRNA from 1 species